UACGGAGGGUGCGAGCGUUGUCCGGAAUCACUGGGCGUAAAGGGCGCGUAGGCGGCUCAUGAAGGCUGUGGUGAAAGUCCGGGGCUCAACCUCGGAUCGGCCGUGGCGACUCGUGGGCUGGAGCACUGUAGAGGCGGGUGGAAUUCCCGGUGUAGCGGUGAAAUGCGUAGAGAUCGGGAGGAACACCCGUGGCGAAGGCGGCCAUCUGGACCAGCACUGACGCUGAGGCACGAAAGCGUGGGGAGCAAACAGG
rnacentral:rRNA from 1 species